AUUGAACGCUGGCGGCAGGCCUAACACAUGCAAGUCGAGCGGUAGAGAGGUGCUUGCAUCUCUUGAGAGCGGCGGACGGGUGAGUAAUGCCUAGGAAUCUGCCUAGUGGUGGGGGAUAACGUUCGGAAACGGACGCUAAUACCGCAUACGUCCUACGGGAGAAAGCGGGGGGAUCUUCGGACCUCGCGCCAUUAGAUGAGCCUAGGUCGGAUUAGCUAGUUGGUGAGGUAAUGGCUCACCAAGGCGACGAUCCGUAACUGGUCUGAGAGGAUGAUCAGUCACACUGGAACUGAGACACGGUCCAGACU
rnacentral:rRNA from 1 species